CAGAGUGGUAAAGUAGAUACAUCUUCCUGCUGGAGAUGCAAGAUAUGUCUCUUCCUGUGUGGAGUGAUGGACAAUGACGGGUAGGGCGUGAGGACCCCCUCUAUGGGCCUUGCCAACUCCAGUUUCAGGUGGUGCAAUGCUGAGGGUCGGUGUAACACUACCACAAGAUCUACCAGACGCUUUGCGUACUUGGACUAGAGGAGAGGAUGGGAGUUAAGGACAGAAAUGAAAUGGCUGUUCGGAAAGAUUUGAUGUUCAGCAGUCUUCAGCCCCAGCUGACGCUCGUCUUGCAUUAUAAGGCAUCACCUCAGAGACACAGCAGCUCCCGACUUAACAGAGAAUAGUUGCUCUGGAAAUAAAGAGCUAGAGGAAUGACCACCUAUGUGUGAAUGGUCCAUUGGAUGCCUCCCUUACCCCCAAAAAUGGUGCUGAGAGAAGCCCAGGAACACUUCUGCUCCUGAAGUCUGGGGGGCAUCUGAGGAAGAGCUGCGGCCCCCAGGGCAGUGAUGUGCCUGAGCCUGGAGCCAUCGCUGUGUGAAGUUCAUGGACCGUCACUGCAUCACCACCCUCUGGCUGUGGAGAUCACCUCAUACCACUACCUCUGGUGACAACUUUCCAAAUACAUGUUGUUUCCUAUGUUUCCCCUGAAGUACAUUCAUUCUCAACCAUGCAGUGACUCCUAUUUUAAUCCUUGACUUUAAUGUCUCUAAUAAGGUCAGGAAAUCAGAAUCUAAGACCUUUAUUUAUAUAGUCUGGGAGAUUCUUAAAUUCUGAACCUAAAUAUCAUCCCCCCCCCACCCACACACACACAUACCUAUUACACCUGAGAAGAGAAACAGUGUCAUGAUACGUAUUCUCUAGCUAGGGCUUCCCAGCAUGUAAAAUAUAAAGAAAAAAAAGUGAAAAAAUCUCCUUGGAAAGUCUACUCAUUCGAUUUUCUUUAGGCAAAACCUCUGGUAACUGAUGGUGUGAGGUAAGAGAGGUGGGGAAAGCGAAGGAGUUGUGAACCAGAAGAUAGGCAGUCAGCCUCAGGCUCAGGCUUCCCAGGAGCUUGGCCCUGGCCUUAGGGGUGUUUGUUUUCUUCUCUGUCAAAUGCGGGUGAUAGGACCACACAAAUCCCUCCAUCCAGAUGCCUGGUGUCACUGAGAACAAAAGCGAGCAGAGUAGUGCACUGUCCUUCAAGACUCAAAAUGUACCACACAGGAAGGAAGGGAAUCUCCCUUCCUGUGUGGAUCGCUCCAACAGCCCUUGGCGACCAGCAGGUUGUAUGGAUGGAGAACUCUUAGGCACACCCAGGAUGGCCUGUGAAUGCUACUGUUACCAAUAACAACUCUGUUGGAAAGACUCCCCUUCAGCAUUGGAGUGUUUUCAUACAGGGCCUCUUACCUGAGCUCCACAAUCAGGGCCCUCUGGCCAAAGCAAAAAAUCCACCUUCACUAUUCUUAUGUCCCAAGUGAGCCUGACAUUCUCAGGGUUAAGGAAUGUGAGCCUGGACACCUCCUGGCUCUCAGCCUGAGUCCCUUCCUUCACACCCAUGACUGGAUAGGGAAUUGCAAGCGACUUGGAGCAAGCAGCCCCGCCUUUCCAGCUCCUCAGGCCAGGGCUCAGGGUCACUUUCCUGGCUCAGCAAGAUAAAGGGACACACCCAUGGUUCUGAGGAGCAGAGUGCUGGUUUUGUGGCCAAGAUCAAGGCCUGGGACUCCUGGCUUCCAGGCUUCUGGUCUUUCUAGCUCAAUAUACAAUGAGGUCUGUCCAGAAAAAAAGUCCAGCUGUUGUUAAUAUACCAAGAAUGGUUUACAUGACAUUGAUGUAACCUGGCAGCCAAGGAGAGUGGACUGCAAUGCACAUGUGUAAACAAUGACGAAUUCAUUGUACUGGCCAGUGGGGGCAAUAGAUGCUGUAGUGAGCAUGUGUACUGUGUGGCUGUCACAUUCAAAAUGACUGAGCAAGUAACAAUGAAUCUGCAUCAAAUUUUGUGUUAAGCUUGAACAUUUUUCUGC